rnacentral:rRNA from 1 species
AACGAACGCUGGCGGCAGGCUUAACACAUGCAAGUCGAGCGCCCCGCAAGGGGAGCGGCAGACGGGUGAGUAACGCGUGGGAAUCUACCGUACCCUACGGAAUAGCUCCGGGAAACUGGAAUUAAUACCGUAUACGCCCUACGGGGGAAAGAUUUAUCGGGGUAUGAUGAGCCCGCGUUGGAUUAGCUAGUUGGUGGGGUAAAGGCCUACCAAGGCGACGAUCCAUAGCUGGUCUGAGAGGAUGAUCAGCCACAUUGGUACUGAUACACGGCCCAAACUCCUACGGUAGGCAGCAGUGGGGAAUAUUGGACAGUGGGCGCAAGCCUGGUCCAGCCAUGCCGCGUGAGUGAUGAAGGUCUUAGGAUUGUAGAGCUCUUUCACCGAUGAAGAUAAUGACGGUAGUCGGAGAAGAAGCCCCGGCUAACUUCGUGCCAGCAGCCGCCGUAAGAC